rnacentral:rRNA from 1 species
UCGGGAAUUUUGGGCAAUGGGCGAAAGCCUGACCCAGCAACGCCGCGUGAAGGAUGAAGUAUUUCGGUAUGUAAACUUCGUAAGAAUAGGAAGAAUAAAUGACGGUACUAUUUGUAAGGUCCGGCUAACUCUGUGCCAGCAGGAGCGGUAAUACAGAGGCCCCAAGCGUUAUCCGGAAUCACUGGGCGUAAAGCGGGUGUAGGCGGACUUAUAAGUCAGGUGUGAAAUCCCAGGGCUCAACCCUGGAAGUGCACUUGAUACUGCAAGUCUUGAGUGUGGUAGAGGCUAUUAGAAUUCCUGGUGUAGUGGUGAAAUACGUAGAUAUCAGGAGGAAUACCGGAGGCGAAGGCGGAUAGCUGGGCCAACACUGACGCUGAGACCCGAAAGCGUGGGGAUCAAACAGGAUUAGAUACCCCGGUAGUCCCUGAGCGGGCUGGCAAGGCGCAU